rnacentral:rRNA from 1 species
AGCGAACGCUGGCGGCAGGCCUAACACAUGCAAGUCGAACGGAUCCUUCGGGAUUAGUGGCGGACGGGUGAGUAACACGUGGGAACGUGCCCUUUGGUUCGGAACAACUCAGGGAAACUUGAGCUAAUACCGGAUGUGCCCUUCGGGGGAAAGAUUUAUCGCCAUUGGAGCGGCCCGCGUCUGAUUAGCUAGUUGGUGAGGUAAAGGCUCACCAAGGCGACGAUCAGUAGCUGGUCUGAGAGGAUGAUCAGCCACAUUGGGACUGAGACACGGCCCAAACUCCUACGGGAGGCAGCAGUGGGGAAUCUUGCGCAAUGGGCGAAAGCCUGACGCAGCCAUGCCGCGUGAAUGAUGAAGGUCUUAGGAUUGUAAAAUUCUUUCACCGGGGACGAUAAUGACGGUACCCGGAGAAGAAGCCCCGGCUAACUUCGUGCCAGCAGCCGCAGUAAGAC